UUGUGAAUUUCUUCAUAAUGCAGAGUAUCCCUCCUUUUUUUUACUACAUUGAAAGUCCCAACAUUAUUAUGGAUUUUAAGAAAUCUAUCAUUCAUAAGACCAGAGCAUAUCUUAAUUUUUGUCAAUUUGGUUGGAGGGGUCGUGUGGGCACAAUUUCAUAACUUUACUUGUCGAUUCCAACAUUCCAACCAUUCCUUAAACAUUCCUUAAACAUUGUUUUAAUUUUAUGAUAUCUUUUAUCAAAAUUCAUGUUCAAAAGAGUGAAUUAUAUUGAAAGUUAAAUGAACAAGCUUCCUGAUUGUAAUGAUUUUGUUUUGGAAUUCCACUGUUGCCGAAAUAUCUUCUCCUACUACCUCUACCAUUAUCAAACCUUUUAUCACUUAUAUAUCAAUGGACUAAAGCACCAGUUUCAACAGAUAUAGAAACAGAAAGGAGAAAGGUGAUGUAAUUACUAAUUACGGUCAAUUGAGUUCGACUGUAUCACGAAGUGAAGCAUCUAUCCAGAUGUCGUUCAAGAUUUUCAUCACAAAUUGUCAUCACGACCCCAAGAAUAACUCGCCUGCUGCGAUCUACCGAAACGGCCCCAAAUUGUUGAGCGAAUUCGCUUUGCAAGUUCAAACCCCCCGCAUGUCCAGCUGAGAAGAAAUGUCUUCCGAAGCUGGCAACAUGGGCAUGGAUGGUCACAGAGGACUGAAGAUAGUUUGGAUUUUGGAACUUCAGGUUACUACUAAGUAUUUUUUCACGAGAGGAACGCAAAAGCUGCUGCUAGUAAGGCCACCUCAUCUUUCUCGACUUAAGGGCAGACUUUUAGGGACUUUGGGAUCUGGAAGUAAACAUCUGGAGUAAAUUCAGAUUGAAUUGUUGGGAAAUCUGGUCAAUCGGUUCAUCCAUCAAAUUGGCCUAGAAAAGGGAAGUCCUGAUGGAUUUGGUCGUAGACAUUUAUUUAUUUUUAUUUUUUAUGUUUAUGGGUGGGGCACUGAAGAAGACAUCUGGCGGCAAGAUUUGUCUUCAAUUGUUGGCGCGUAGACUCUAGCCCCUACCUUCUUCUUGGUUCCCUGUUAGUUGAAGCGUAUGUUUCGAGAGUAAGGGAAAAGGGACGUAUUGUCGUUGGUUGGGGCUUGUGGGUUUUUAUGUUAGCUACAUUGCUUGAUGGAUGUAUUUCUACCUGUGAUGAUGACGGAUCUUGAAGCUAAAGGAUUUGAAAACCGUGCUGUUCCACAUGUCCAGAAGCUGAGUGACUGGCACCUUUAAAAUAUGAAACUUCACUUCAGCCUUCCAAUCUAGGACUUGUAUCUAAUUGUGCAGGCUGCGUGGAAUUCUCAUUUACCUUUGCUGUGAAUGUCAAUUGGAUGUACACUCUUGAAGGCUAGUAAGACGAAUUUUGAUGCUGAAAAACUUGGAAACUAUGCUGUUCACCAUGUCGAGAAGCUGAGUAACAUUCUGCAUGUACAAUGUUGUGAAUGGCACCUCUUAAUGUUAGGAACUUCAGCCAUCCAAUCUAGGACUUGCAUCCAAUCGUGCAGGCUGCAUGGAAGUCUCAUUUACCUUUGCGUGAGCAUCAUGAACACAGACACUAUUUGAAGGUUCAUGUUUACAUAGCAGUGGUGUUGCUGUCCAAUGUGGCGUGUUGUUGCAGCCUAUGGUGGUGAAAGAUACCUGCAUCAAGUUGCUGUUCCUUGUGCAUCCAUGGUGCUGGUUUUGUGCUACAAAAGUGACAUCCAGUAUUGUGUUAAAUUGCUAUUUGUGUCUGCAGUUUACCUUUUAAAUAUUGAGAAGGAAUCAAAAAAGUAAUAUGGGAAGUUUAUGUCAAACAAAUAAUAAACAUGUCCGCGAUGGGGGAAUGAGGAGGAAGUUGGGGUGGGAUAUUUGGUUAAGAUUUACUAAAAGAAGUGAGGUAUAUAUUUUUUAAUGAAUAUGCAGAACUCGCUGAUAAAAUCUGUUGUCAACCCAUAUAACCUUCCCCACUUACACAUCCAUUCCUCAAACCUUAUAAGCCUCAAUAUUAAAUUCCACAUCCAUUCCUCAAACC